GGAACGUCCUCGGCUCGUUCGGGCGUGGCCGGCGAGAGGCAACAGGUAGACCCAAGCCGGCGCCGGUGGCAUGAAGUGGGAGACGGGGAACGUAAUCCGCCUGUAAUUAGCAUGACCCGGUGCUGGUGGCUGCCGCUUCUCGAGGAAAGGAUGAGUUGUGCCACGUUCAUCACGACAACACUAAUCGUGAUAUCUUUGAACACACAACCUUGUCUUCUGCACCCAUACACAUGUGGAUUCUUUCACGAAGGUGACUACGGAUAAAAUGAUCAUAAGUCCAGCGCGUAAUCCCAAAGACGUGAGCUAAACUACAGGCGUGAUAGAGUACGUCACACAAACACAGGCGAGGUUUCUGUGCGCAGCGUCCUGAAGAGAGAUAAAGUGAAGGAAGACAACACACAACGCCGAGCGAGUCUUGGAUAGAAUACGGCGAUCAAG